rnacentral:rRNA from 1 species
GGUUAAGCGAAUAAGCGUACACGGUGGAUGCCUAGGCAAUCAGAGGCGAUGAAGGACGUGCUAAUCUGCGAAAAGCGUCGGUAAGGUGAUAUGAACCGUUAUACCCGACGAUAUCCGAAUGGGGAAACCCAGUAUCCAAUGGAUACUAUCAUUAACUGAAUCCAUAGGUUAAUGAGGCGAACCGGGAGAACUGAAACAUCUCAGUACCCCGAGGAAAAGAAAUCAACCGAGAUUCCCCUAGUAGCGGCGAGCGAACGGGGAGCAGCCCAGAGUCUUAAUCAAUAACAGUGUCAGGAGAACGGUCUGGAAAGUCCGGCAGUAAAGGGUGAUAGCCCCGUAUCUGAAGAUGCUGUUAUUGUGAACUCGA